ACGUUGAAACACCUGUUCCCGUAAUCACCGAAGUUAAGUAACGUCGACCCUGGUCAGUAGCUAAAUGGGUGACCGCUUGGGAAUACUAAGUGCUGUAA